GAGUAAUUUUAGGUGCAGGUCAAACGGGUUGGGCCCCACAACACUUUUUGUUCAUUUUAUAACUUCUAUAUAAAGCGAGCUAGAACAAGCAUUUGAAUUGAAUACAGGUUCUAAAGCAUUUGCCGUGUUUAAUCUGUUCCACUCAUGUGACAUGUUUCAUUUGUUAGCUAUUUUUUCAUAUUUUACCGUUUAAAAUAUUAUCAAACAAACACAAGGGUCAAAAAUUGGUCAAACUGGUCUUAAGGUGGCACCUCAUGCACAUCUGGGUCAAUUAUGGUCCAACGGGUCAAAAUUAGGAUCCGUAGGACUCAGGAGGGUGAUAUGUACAAACAAUCAAAGGGAUGAAGAGAUUGUGGAAGGUUUACUUGAUAAAAGGGCAAAUAUGUAAACAAGACACGUGCAACUUUUAGUAGUACAUAAAGCAACGCGCCAACGCCUCACUAACGUAAAGAAUUUUACCUCGAAGCUACCAGCAUUUCCACUGAGGUUGAAACAAUGAGAUACAGAGCCAUCGUAUAGUUUCCCACCAAAACCCCAAGCAGGAAACCGUUUAUCAUAAUCAUAAACUUGUAUCACUUCUCCAACCUCCAUAAUAGCCUGUAAUCAGAAAGAUAAACAUAUUACCGAAUUAGAAAACUUGUAUAACUCUGUACGAAACAGUUCAGUCAGUAUAUUUAAGCUGCUAACUUGCUGGUAUGCAUUUAAGUAGCUGCUAUCAUAGCCCAUGUAAUGCAAUGAAUCCCGCUUACGUGGAUCACCAUUCGAAGCUGUCAAGAAUUCGAAUCAUUUAGUAGAUAUCACAUUUUAGUGUAAUUAAUUAAGUAAAGCACACUUACCUGUAAAAUCAACAGCAACCAUGAAGUUGAGUUCAAAGCCACUAGAGAUAUAAUCAAGAAAACUAUACAACUCCUUUUCUUCAUAUCCGUCCACAUAAAGUCUACCCUUGAGAACCUAUUUUUUUUUUUUGUAGUUAUAACGCUUCAUUAAAUUGCAAAGUAUAGUAUUAUAUAGUUCUUUUAAGACAACAAAUGAAUACAGUUUACCUUCUCAUGAUCUUUGUGACGAGAAGAUGGAAAGACAAGAUUUGCACCGGCAUUUGCUUUAUGAAGAUUUUCCAUAUCUUGAAUUGAUGUAUGCAGUUUACUUAAAGAAGACAAUUUUUCACGAAAGUGAGAUGUGUUAUUAAUUUAUUAUGCACAA
rnacentral:lncRNA from 1 species